GGACAAAGUCCUGUGCCUGUGUAAGAGUAGUCUCAGUUGUGGCAUUUGUUCAGUCUAUCAUGAGAUGAUAGACACAACCUCCAAAGUUUCAAUUUGUGUUUUAUUCUUGCUCAAGGCCAUUAUGUAGUAUUAUUUGGUGCAUUCUUUGAAUGUGAGCAAAAGAUAAUACAAAUGACAACUGUGAGGUGUGAAGUGGCUCUUCUUUCUUAGUUAACAAUCUGUGGAAUUACCUCAUGAAGUGAAAAUUGUUUGCCUACACGAAUAUGCAGAUCAUAUGAUAACCCAGGAAUGCAAUAUGCCAAUAUUUAUUAGUGGUAGAGAAUGCUAACUGACAAUAUCCAAAUUUGCAAUAACACCAGAAUAACCACCUAGUGGAGAGGGGCAAAACAGCCUGCAUAGAUACUCUCAAUCCUUGGAACGAUACUGAAAGAGAUAAUUAGGAGUGACGUUACAAAGUGAGGAUGUAAUUUUAGCUAAAUAGUCUCUUUGAAAAUGACGCAAUUCAGUGUAUUACUGCAGCGCGGUGUAACUAGCAUUUAACCAGCACUGGAACACUGAUACCUCCAUUGGACUCUUGAGUUGAGUUCUCCUGUUCUUGUGUGUAGAUGAUGUUCAGGUAUGAGGUUAUUUUGGGUAGUAUGCAAUAUUUCUACAUACUGCACUUUCUCUGUUUUUACAAAUAAAAUUUCANNNNNNNNNNNNNNNNNNNNNNNNNNNNNNNNNNNNNNNNNNNNNNNNNNNNNNNNNNNNNNNNNNNNNNNNNNNNNNNNNNNNNNNNNNNNNNNNNNNNNNNNNNNNNNNNNNNNNNNNNNNNNNNNNNNNNNNNNNNNNNNNNNNNNNNNNNNNNNNNNNNNNNNNNNNNNNNNNNNNNNNNNNNNNNNNNNNNNNNNNNNNNNNNNNNNNNNNNNNNNNNNNNNNNNNNNNNNNNNNNNNNNNNNNNNNNNNNNNNNNNNNNNNNNNNNNNNNNNNNNNNNNNNNNNNNNNNNNNNNNNNNNNCAAGGCUCACUGUGCAGUUGUAAAGUAUAUUAAUACAUUAUUCCCUUAAAAAUUGAUAAAUGACAAGUAAUCUGAAAGCUUGGUUGAGAAUAGCUGUACCAAUAUGUUUGGAUCACGCGAUCUAUGUACCGGGAUGGCUUUAAAGCAAUUAGAGGGAUGAACAUACAGCACUUCUUGACUGGAAAUAAGAUGAUUUAUAAUUAAGCUAAUACAUAUGGUUCCUUUUUAGGGGUUAGUUUGAUAUCUCAUAAUUUAUAAUUUAUUUUAAAAUCGGAAUAUCUAAUAAAUGUACGCCCAUGGUAUUAGAUCUUAUAGUUGGAAAAUGAGACUUAAAUAUUGCGCCAUAUGUAAUCUGGAAGCAGAUUCUCUGACAUUAAGAUUAGAUGCUGCUAUCAACAAUAAGCUCAGGACCAACCAGGUCAACUAAAAGACAAGAGCAAGCGGGAACUGUCUACUUUGUGCAAGAUUGAGAAAAUAAAUACUGCAGACAAAUGGCAAAUGUCACAAUUAGUGUUUUGAAGAUGAUUUCAUCAAAGGGACAAAAGAAGCUUAUAAUCAGCGAGAGAUAAUAAUUAAAAAAGGUCAUAUCAGUGAUUAGCACACAUUCCUGAACAAGGACAAGGAAUACUCUUACAUAAUAAGCAUAGAAAUACCGCAUUACAGGAUUCAAACCCGUUUUACUGUUUAUGCUGGGCCACUGCAAGAGAUGCUUUGCAACUGUUACACAAAGCUGGGAAUCGACUAGGAAUAACCAAAUGGAAACACUAUUAGUUUUCUGUUUCUUUUUCAUUUUUGACGAUAGCAUGGUCGUUUCUGAAUGGCUAAAUCUGAAGCUAUUUUCUAAUAUCCUUUGACUGUUUCUGUCUGUAAAUUUGUCAUUUGAUUUGAUUUCACUGUUUGUUUUCUUCACACCCUCUUAACUUCUGGAAAUAAUAACAAGGACCAGAACCUGGGAAUAUUCUGAAUCCAAAGCAAGACAGAUGAACGCGGCAAUCUUCAGGCUUCAAAUUCUUAGUUGAGAUUUGCUUUGGUUCUAUGAGCUCAUGGUCAUGGAGUCCGAGCCACACCCUGGUAAUGGUCAUGAACCACAAAAUACAGCAAGUCAGCAACAACAACAUCAGUAUGAUGACCAAACACCGAGUAGUGCUGAUGAAGCAAAGUUUCUAUGGAAACUGAGGAAGUACUUGAUCCUGCUGGCAACUUUAUCGGCCACUAUCACCUACCAGGCGGGGCUGGCACAACCGGGUGGUCUCUGGCCAGAUAACCAGCAAGGCUACCUUGCCAGUGACGUUGUCAUGUUUCUUAGCCGCACCAAGCGGUACAGGAUGUUCUUCUACUGCAUUCAUUACAUCCUUCAUUGUUCUGAUCCUGAUCCUGGUCAGGGAGCUGAGACAGAAUGCAAUGGCUCCGUUCGCUGCAGUUUGCGCUGCUGCUUGACCUGCUCGGACUUGUGGGGGCCUAUGCUGCCGGGAACCGCAGGGAGGUCAGAACAUCCGUUUGUAUCUGGGUAUUACUUGUUGGCAUCUUCACGUAUGUUGGACUUCAUGUAGUAUUCUUCCUCCAGAGCUCCUGAAUGGCUUGGAGAAAUAUUUUGGGACAUCCAGAGGUUCCAAGAAGAUUCUAUAGCACACAUUUUCAAUAGAAGGUGGUACAUAAAACAUGAGCUAGAUGCUGCUAUCCAAGAUGAGCUACAUAAAACAUGAACUUUUGUGUUCUCUGUUGCUUGGGCGGUUUGCUUUAUAUAUAAAGUGGGGCAAAGCCUCUUUUGGUAUCCAAGAUGAAAAGGAGGCACUGGAGCAGAAUCACGGUUUUUUGCUGGUUGCCGCUACAUUGGCAGCAACAAAGACAUAUACUGCAGGGUUAAGUCCACCAGGUGGCAGAUCUUACUGGUAUGAUAACAAGGGUAGCCACAUUGUUGGUGACCUGGUGCUUCGAGACAAAUAGCCCCUCGGCUUCAACGCGUUUAUGUUCUUAAAUAAAACUGCCUUUUCUGGAUCCAUUGUCAUCAUCAUCAUGCUUCUUAGUAAAACGGGAGUGAAUUGUAUUGACAUGUCAAAUGUAAUUCGGUUGUGGAUUCUGAUCAGUCUUACGGCUACUUAUGUCAUAGGGAGUCACAGGAAAAUCCAUACAUCUAAUCUUUGUGUUCCCACUUUUUGGUCAGUCCUACUCUACCUCAACAUUCAAUGGGUUGCUCCUAUAGUGCCUAAGCCGGAAUUUAUGAGGAAGUGCAUCAAGUGGAUGGAAGGAGAGCAGAAUAAGCUGGUCUUGAAGCUAAACUCCUUUAUGUAUAGUUGCAGUAGAUCCAUUGGACAGGUGACACGAUUACAGUAUGAUGGACAACAUUCAUUCAGAAAUGGCGCAUCAAGCACUGUUAAUAAUGUGAAAGAUGACUUGGGGAAGUUGCAGACAUACCUUUUAUGGUUUGCCAUCCUUGUUGCAACUAUUACAUACCAAGCUGGGUUGCAUCUCGCCGGUGGGUUUUGGCCACUGCCUAAACCGAUUCUGAAGUAAAGAGGUAUUGUAUUCCUCAGUCCAGAAGAUAUGUAAGAAUCAGAGAAAUCAAUGAAGGAGAAAGGUAUUAAAUCUGAAGACGUUAAGAAUCUACCACCUAUUGUAUUGAAGAAAUACAUGAACUUGAAAUCCCGACAUAGGUAGUGGAGGUAAAUUCUCUUUAUAGAUUUGAUGAGGGUGACAUUUCUUAUAAUAAAUCUCCUAGUCUAUGCUUGGAUGAAUUUGAUAAUUUCAUUAUUUAGCAAGAAAACUUCAAUAAAUACAUAAGUGAUCAAAUGAAACACAAUGCUUUUAUGGUUGAACGCUUGGGUGAUAUGAUGUUUAGAAUUGUUAAUGAUGUUAAAGGAUUAUGUAAGCACUCAUCUAUGGUUCAAACACAAUUAGAACAAGUUGCUAAAUCACAAAAUGAUUUGCUUAAUGAGAAACAAUAAAAUGAACAAUCAUGUUGUUAGAGUAAUGACUAGAGGUAAAACGACUCAGGAUCCUCUAUAUCCUGAAGGUCAUCCUAAACGAAUUGAGUAAGGUUCUCAGAGAAUUAAUAAUGAUGUACUAGUUAACGUAGGAAGAAAAAGAAUAAGGAUAGAACUUUGCAUGCAUCCUGUGAACUUGUCAUAAAAAACCUUCUCAGAAUUCUAAAGAUGUUUCUAUUUCUGAUGCUGAGACACAGUCUGAUAAUGAACAUAUACGUAGUGAUGAUGAAAAUGGCGAUGCCAAUGAUGAUCACAUUGAUAAUCAAUGAGACAAUAAUAAAGAAUCUGAUAAUGAUAUAGAAAUAGAACCUACAAUUAAUCUUGAUAACGCACCUCCUUAAAAUAAAAGAUAUGACAAAAAGGACUUCAUUGCUAGAAAAUUUGAUAAAGAAAGAGAGCCUUGGGUUCAAAAACCCGCUGUAAAAUACAGAGAUGAGGAGGCUUUUAACCGCUUUGUUGAAAUGCUUAGACCUUUGUAUUUGCGCACACCCUUGACUGAAAGUAUGAAAAUGCCUCCAUAUGCUAAAUACAUGAAGGAUAUUGUCACCAAUAAAAGAAAAAUACCGGAAGCUGAAAUCUCCACCAUGCUUGCAAGCUAUUCCUUCGAAGGGAAAGUACCUCCGAAACUAGGAGAUCCAAGAAUUCCUACUAUACCAUGCCCUAUUAAAAAUAAUUAUGUUAGAAUUGAUUUGUGUGAUUUGGAAGUUGGUGUUAGUGUUAUGCCUUUUUCUUUAUAUAGAAGACUUGACUUGAGUAAGUUGACACCUACUGAAAUCUCUUUGCAAAUGGCUGAUAAAAACCGCUAUACCUAUUGGAAUUUGUGAGGAUGUUUCUGUUGUAGUUGCUAAUGUUACUAUCUUAACAGACUUUGUUAUUCUUGAUAUGCCUAAGGACAACAAUAUGUUGGUUAUUCUUGGUAGACCUUUUUUAAAUACUGUAUGGGCUGUUAUUGAUUGCAACAAAAGCAAGUUCACUUUUCAUAUUAAUGGUAAUGAGCAUACAAUAUAUUUUCCAAAGAAACAAAACCAAGUGAAUAGUAUCAACUCUAUUGAAAGAAUUACGACGAUCACUAUUGGAGGUUUUGAUUCCCCUUCCGACUCCCGAAAAGAAAUAUCAAACUCUUAUUGUUAGGGAAAUGCAUAUCCCUGUUGAGGUAACCUAGUGUUAUAUGAAAGUUCUUCGGUUUUAUGUUACUCGAAAAUAGUUUUUUAUUAGAAGGUACCUGCUCAUUUCAUUUAGUCAAAGGAUUACAAACCAGAACGAUGCAGACAUCCUUGGAAAUGUUGAGAGAAGACAAUUGUCGAGGAACAAAGCAAAAAAGGACCCCGUUAAAAUUGAAAUUACAACCAAGGCCACAACCUCCCUCCAGCAUAACCCAGCGCUGGCCGGAAGGGAAGAAGGCGCUCUUCCCGCACACCGAAAACUGCAGACGCACCAUUGCCAUAACUUGGCUUUGUGAGUUGAUGAAGCACUCCGACACUGGCGGAGUUCCUGCCGUUGUGGAACGUCAAGGCGGGCUCAUCCCCAUGUAUCUCCGGCAUCAGAUCCGGCCAUCCCCACGGACUUCCUCGGGGGGAGACACAAAAUUUGCCACCAUCUUGCCACGAACUCUGCUCGUGAGUAGCCAACCACCUCGGACAACCGACGAUGCCACCAUGAAGCCACACAACACCCGCUGGAAAACAAUUGUACAAAUUCCCUUGCCCACCCUGACGGAGCCGUGAUGGUAGCUGGAACUACGUCGGUAUUUCCCUGGAGAGGGAGGGAUGAUGUAGCACAGCGACGAUAGGUAUUUCCCUCAGUUAUGAAACCAAGGUAUCGAACCAGUAGGAGAACCAAGCAACACAACUUAAGCAGCACCUACACACAAAUAACAAAUCCUCACAACCCGACGUGUUAAAGGGUUGUCAAUCUCUUUUCGGUAACGGCGCCAGAAAUUGCGUGUGACGGAAGAUAAAGUUGUAAUAGAUUGAAAUAAUAGAUCACAAAUAAAAUAAAGUGCAGCAAAGUAUUUUUGGAUUUUUGGUUUAAUAGAUCUGAAUAAAAAUGCAAAGGAAAAGUAGAUCGUAAGGCAAAUAUAUGAGAAAGAAGACCCCGGGGCCGUAGGUUUCACUAGUGGCUUCUCUCAAGAAAAAUAGCAAACUGUGGGUAAACAAAUUACUGUUGGGCAAUUGAUAGAACCUCAAAUAAUUAUGACGAUAUCCAAGCAAUGAUCAUUGCAUAUGCAUCACAUCCAAGAUUAGUAGAUCGACUCCUUCCUGCAUCUACUACUACUACUCCACACAUCGACCGCUAUCCAACAUGCAUCUAGUGUAUUAAGUUCAUGGAAAAAUAGAGUAAUGCAAUAAGAAUGAUGACAUGAUGUAGACAAGAUCCGUUUAUGUCUAUGGCGGUAGAUAUAGAUCUCGUCUUUUUAUCCUUAGUAGCAACGAUACAUACGUGCCAGUUCCCUUUCUGUCACUAGGAUCAAGCACCGUAAGAUCGAACCCACUACCGGUCACCUCUUCCCAUUGGAAGAUAAAUAGAUCAAGUUGGCCAAACAAAACCCAAAUAUUGGAGAAGAAAUACGAGGCUAUAAGAGAUCAUGCAUAAAAGAGAUCAAAGAAACUCAAAUACUUUCAUGGAUAUAAAAACAUAGAUCUGAUCAUAAACUCAAAGUUCAUCGAUCCCAACAAACACACCGCAAAAGAGUUACAUCAUAUGGAUCUCCAAGAGACCAUUGUAUUGAGAAUCAAGGUAGAGAAAUGAAGCCAUCUAGCUACUAAUUACGAACCCGAAGGUCUACAAAGAACUACUCACGCAUCAUCGGAGAGGCACCAAUGGAGGUGGUGAACCCCAUCCGAGAUGGUGUCUAGAUUGGAUCUGGUGGUUCUGGACUCUGCGGCAGCUGGAUGGAUAUUUCGUCGACUCCCCUAGGGUUCUGGUAUUUUUGGGGUAUUUAUAGAGCAAAGAGGCAGUCCGGGGGCACCCGAGGUGGGCACAACCCACUAGGGCGCGCCUGGGCCUCCUGGCGCGUCCUGGUGGGUUGUGCCCCCCUCGGGGCACCCCCAGGUGCAACCAGGGCCCAUUGCCUUCCUUCUGGCCCAUAAAAAAUCUCCGUAAAGUUUCGUGGCAUUUGGACUCCGUUUGAUAUUGAUUUUCUGUGAUGUAAAAAACAUGCAAAAAAGGCAACUGGCACUUGGCACCAUGUCAAUAGGUUAGUACAAAAAAUGAUAUAAAAUGACUAUAAAAUGAUUAUAAAACAUCCAAGAUUGAUAAUAAAACAACAUGGAACAAUAAAAAAUUAUAGAUACAUUGGAGACAUAUCAGCAUCCCCAAGCUUAACUCCUACUCAUCCUCGAGUAGGUAAGUGAUAAAAACAGAAUUUUUGAUGUGGAGUGUUGUUCAUCAAGUCAUAUCAUAUUCUUUUCUUUAUCGCAUGGACAUUUGGACUUUUAUGUGAUUCAAAGCAAUAGUCUAGUUUUGACAUAAUAAUUCAGAUACUCAAGCAUAUCAACAAGCAACCAUCACUACAAAAAAAAGACACAUCCGUGACAUUUUGGGUCGAUCGAAUUUUUUUUCUGUCAUACUUAUGACACUUCUAUGAAGAUAAUUGUGACAAAACCCGGUAUCAUCAUAGAUGUGGUGGGCUCCUACUUCUAUGACGAAAAAUCAUGACAGAAAAUUGGCUUUUCGUCCUGGGCGGGCCGGAGACGCAGCUGCAUGACAUUCUUUGGGCCGUCCAUGACGGAAAAAACCGUGGUAGAAGCGAGGGCGAGGAAAAUUUCGGCGAGUUCCCGGUUACGGUGGGUGGUCGGGGGCCGAGCGAUGCGCGUUUCUCUCGUACACGUACGCGCGUGUGUGCGAGGCGUUGGGCUCUAACUGAACCCGAGCGAGGCGUCUCCUAACUGAACCCGAGCGAUUGCACUGCAGGCUACGCGUUACUGAACCCGAGCGAUUGAGCGAUUCCUUUGCUACUGCUGCUAACUGAAGCCGAUCGAUGCUGCCUCUGGAUNNNNNNNNNNNNNNNNNNNNNNNNNNNNNNNNNNNNNNNNNNNNNNNNNNNNNNNNNNNNNNNNNNNNNNNNNNNNNNNNNNNNNNNNNNNNNNNNNNNNNNNNNNNNNNNNNNNNNNNNNNNNNNNNNNNNNNNNNNNNNNNNNNNNNNNNNNNNNNNNNNNNNNNNNNNNNNNNNNNNNNNNNNNNNNNNNNNNNNNNNNNNNNNNNNNNNNNNNNNNNNNNNNNNNNNNNNNNNNNNNNNNNNNNNNNNNNNNNNNNNNNNNNNNNNNNNNNNNNNNNNNNNNNNNNNNNNNNNNNNNNNNNNNNNNNNNNNNNNNNNNNNNNNNNNNNNNNNNNNNNNNNNNNNNNNNNNNNNNNNNNNNNNNNNNNNNNNNNNNNNNNGCGUUGCCUCUGGAUGAACAGAACCUCGAUCGAUUGAGCCGGUUGGGGCUGGAUGAACAGGACCCCGUGGAGGGCUGGAUGAAUAGGACGACCCCGUGGAGGGCUGGAUUAACGGUAGACGGUGGAGGGGUGGAUGAAUAGUAGCCCGUGGAGGGGUGGUUGAACAGGAGCCCGUGGAGAGGGGUGGUUGAAUAGUAGCCGGUGGAGUAGCGCACGGUGGAGGCUGGAUGAACAGGAGCCCGUGGAUUAAUAGUCGCGGGUGGAGGCUGGAGGAGUUCGACGGUGGAUGAACAGUAGCCCGUGGAGGCUGGAGGAGGUCGACGGUGGAGAUGAACAGUAUCCAUUGGAGUCCCGUUUUGCGGUACGCCACACCCCUCCCGAUGAACAAGACUCCCGUUUCGACCGUAGUGCUCCAACACAAGUCUGAUUCGUCCGUUUUGCGGUACGCCACACCCCUCCCGAUCAACAUGACCCCCGUUUCGACCGUAGGAGGUCCGUUUCCUCUGUUUUGCGGUAAGCCAGACCCCUCCCGAUGAACAGGUUCCGUUUUUGAACUUGGCCGGUCGAACACAAGGCCGUUUCCUCCGUUCUGCGGUACGCCAGGCCUCAUUUCCAUCGCUUGUUCCGUCCAAGCCCUCCCGAUGAACACGACGACGCAUUCCGUUUCGACCCAGUCGGUUGGCUCCCCAUGAACACGACGACGACGCUAUUUCUCCGUUCCGACCCAGCCAUGUACACGAGCCCUGGCCGUACGUAUGCGCGAGUAGGCGUUCGAGACCCCGCCCGUAUGUACACAUACGUGGCCGUAUUUUCUUUCUUGCACACUGGCCGCUGUACGUGUUGGGGAACGUUGCAUAAAAUAAAAAAUUUCCUACGUUCACCAAGAUCAAUCUAUGAGUUCAUCUAGCAACGAGAGAGAGGAGUGCAUCUACAAACCCUUGUAGAUCGCGUGCGGAAGCGUUCAAGAGAACGGGGUUGAGGGAGUCGUUCUCGUCGUGAUCCAAAUCACCGGAGAUCCUAGCGCCGAACGGACGGCACCUCCGCGUUCAACACUCGUACGGUCAGCGUGACGUCUCCUCCUUCUUGAUCCAGCAAGGGGGAAGGAGAGGUUGAUGAAGAUCCAGCAGCACGACGGCGUGGUGGUGGAUGCACCAGGGUUUCUGCAGGGCUUCGCCAAGCGACUACGGGAGGAGGAUGUGUAGCAGGGGAGAGGGAGGCGCCAAGACUUCAGGGUGCGGCUGCCCUCCCCCCUUUUAUAUAGGCCCCCUGGGGGGGAGUUGGCCCUGGAGAUGGGAUCUCCCAAGGGGGGGGGGCGGCCAAGGGGGUGGAGUGUCCCCCAAGGCAAGUGGAGGCGCCCCCCACCCUAGGGUUUCCAACCCUAGGCGCAGGGGGGGCCCAAGGGGAGGAGCACCAGCCCACUAGGGGCUGGUUCCCCUCCCACUUCAGCCCACGGGGCCCUCCGGGAUAGGUGGACCCACCCGGUGGACCCCCGGGACCCUUUCGGUGGUCCCGGUACAAUACCGGUGACCCCUGAAACUCUCCCGAUGGCCGAAACUGCACUUCCUAUAUAUAAUUCUUUACCUCCGAACCAUUUCGAAACUCCUCGUGACGUCCGGGAUCUCAUCCGGGACUCCGAACAACUUUCGGUUUGCUGCAUACUCAUAUUCAUACAACCCUAGCGUCACCAAACCUUAAGUGUGUAGACCCUACGUGUUCGGGAGACAUGCAGACAUGACCGAGAUGGCUCUCCGGUCAAUAACCAACAGCAGGAUCUGGAUACCCAUGUUGGCUCCCACAUACUCCUCGAUGAUCUCAUCGGAUGAACCACGAUGUCGAGGAUUUAAGCAACCACGUAUACAAUUCCCUUUGUCAAUCGGUACGUUACUUGCCCGAGAUUCGAUCGUCGGUAUCCCAAUACCUCGUUCAAUCUCGUUACCGGCAAGUCACUUUACUCGUACCGUAAUGCAUGAUCCCGUGACCAGACACUUGGUCACUUUGAGCUCAUUAUGAUGAUGCAUUACCGAGUGGGCCCAGAGAUACCUUCCCGUCAUACGGAGUGACAAAUCCCAGUCUCGAUCCGUGUCAACCCAACAGACACUUUCGGAGAUACCUGUAGAGCACCUUUAUAGUCACCCAGUUACGUUGCGACGUUUGGUACACCCAAAGCACUCCUAUGGUAUCCAGGAGUUACACGAUCUCAUGGUCUAAGGAAAAGAUACUUGACAUUGGAAAAGCUCUAGCAAACGAACUACACGAUCUUUGUGCUAUGCUUAGGAUUGGGUCUUGUCCAUCACAUCAUUCUCCUAAUGACGUGAUCCCGUUAUCAAUGACAUCCAAUGUCCAUAGUCAGGAAACCAUGACUAUCUGUUGAUCAACAAGCUAGUCAACUAGAGGCUCACUAGGGACAUGUUGUGGUCUAAGUAUUCACACGUGUAUUACGAUUUUCGGAUAAUACAAUUAUAGCAUGAAUAAAAGACAAUUAUCAUGAACAAGGAAAUAUAAUAAUAAUCCUUUUAUUAUUGCCUCUAGGGCAUAUUUCCAACAGUCUCCCACUUGCACUAGAGUCAAUAAUCUAGUUACAUUGUGAUGAAUCGAACACCCAUAGAGUUCUGGUGUUGAUCAUGUUUCGCUCGCGGAAGAGGUUUAGUCAAUGGAUCUAUGACAUUCAGAUCCGUAUGUACUUUGCAAAUAUCUAUGUCUCCACCUUGAACAUUUUCACGGAUGGAGUUGAAACGACGCUUGAUGUGCCUGGUCUUCUUGUGAAACCUGGGCUCCUUGGCAAGGGCAAUAGCUCCAGUGUUGUCACAGAAGAGAGUGAUUGGCCCCGACGCAUUGGGUAUGACUCCUAGGUCGGUGAUGAACUCCUUCAUCCAUAUUGCUUCAUGUGCUGCCUCCGAGGCUGCCAUGAACUCCGCUUCACAUGUAGAUCCCGCCACGACGCUCUGCUUGCAACUGCACCAGCUUACUGCUCCACGAUUCAACAUAUACACGUAUUCGGCUUGUGACUUAGAGUCAUCCAGAUCUGUGUCGAAGCUAGCGUCGACGUAACCCUUUACGACGAGCUCUUCGUCACCUCCAUAAACGAGAAACAUGUCCUUAGUCCUUUUCAGGUACUUCAGGAUAUUCUUGACCGUUGUCCAGUGUUCCUUGCCGGGAUUACUUUGGUACAUUCCUACCAAACUUACGGCAAGGUUUACAUCAGGUCUGGUACACAACAUGACAUACAUAAUAGAUCCUAUGGCCGAGGCAUAGGGGAUGACACUCAUCCCUUCUUUAUCUUUUGCCGUGGUCGGGCAUUGAGCCGAGCUCAAUCUCACACCUUGCAAUACAGGCAAGAACCCUUUCUUGGGCUGAUCCAUUUUGAACUUCUUCAAAAUCUUAUCAAGGUAUGUGCUUUGUGAAAGACCUAUGAGGCGUCUCGAUCUAUCCCUAUAGAUCUUGAUGCCUAAUAUGUAAGCAGCUUCUCCAAGGUCCUUCAUUGAAAAACACUUAUUCAAGUAGGCCUUAAUGUUGUCUAAAAGUUCUAUAUCAUUUCCCAUCAAAAGUAUGUCAUCUACAUAUAAUAUGAGAAAUGCUACAGAGCUCCCACUCACUUUCUUGUAAAUGCAGGCUUCUCCAUAAGUCUGCAUAAACCCAAACGCUUUGAUCAUCUCAUCAAAGCGAAUGUUCCAACUCCGAGAUGCUUGCACCAGCCCAUAAAUGGAUCGCUGGAGCUUGCAUACCUUGUUAGCACUCCUAGGAUCGACAAAACCCUCCGGCUGCAUCAUAUAUAGUUCUUCCUUAAGAUAGCCGUUAAGGAAUGCCGUUUUGACGUCCAUCUGCCAUAUCUCAUAAUCAUAGUAUGCGGCAAUUGCUAACAUGAUUCGGACGGACUUCAGCUUUGCUACGGGAGAGAAAGUCUCAUCGUAGUCAACCCCUUGAACUUACCGAUAACCCUUAGCCACAAGUCGAGCUUUAUAGAUGGUAAUAUUACCAUCCGCGUCCGUCUUCUUCUUAAAGAUCCAUUUGUUUUCUAUUGCUCGCCGAUCAUCGGGCAAGUCUGUCAAAGUCCAUACUUUGUUUUCAUGCAUGGAUUCUAUCUCGGAUUGCAUGGCUUCAAGCCAUUUGUUGGAAUCUGGGCCCGCCAUCGCUUCUUCAUAGUUCGAAGGUUCACCGUUGUCUAACAACAUGAUUUCCAGGACAGGGUUGCCAUACCACUCUGGUGUGGAACGUGUCCUUGUGGACCUACAAAGUUCAGCAACAACUUGAUCCGAAGUACCUUGAUCAUCAUCAUUAAUUUCCUCUCCAGUCGGUGUAGGCACCACAGGAACAUUUUCCUGAGCUGCACUACUUUCCGGUUCAAGAGGUAGUACUUUAUCGAGUUCUACUUUCCUCCCACUUACUCCUUUCGAGAGAAACUCUUUUUCCAGAAAGGAUCCGUUCUUGGCAACAAAGAUCUUGCCUUCGGAUCUAAGGUAGAAGGUAUACUCAAUGGUUUCCUUAGGGUAUCCUAUGAAGACGCAUUUUUCCGACUUGGGUUCGAGCUUUUCAGGUUGAAGUUUCUUGACAUAAGCGUCGCAUCCCCAAACUUUUAGAAACGACAGCUUAGGUUUCUUUCCAAACCAUAAUUCAUAUGGUGUCGUCUCAACGGUUUUAGACGGAGCCCUAUUUAAAGUGAAUGUAGCUGUCUCUAGAGCGUAUCCCCAAAAUGAUAGCGGUAAAUCGGUAAGAGACAUCAUAGAUCGCACCAUAUCCAACAGAGUGCGAUUACGACGUUCGGACACACCAUUACGCUGAGGUGUUCCAGGCGGCGUGAGUUGUGAAACGAUUUCACAUUUUCUUAAGUGCUUACCAAAUUCCUGACUUAAAUAUUCUCCUCCACGAUCUGAUCGUAAGAACUUUAUUUUUCGAUCACGUUGAUUCUCUACUUCAUUCUGAAAUUCCUUGAACUUUUAAAAGGUCUCAGACUUGUGUUUCAUCAAGUAGACAUACCCAUAUCUACUUAAGUCAUCAGUGAGAGUGAGAACAUAACGAUAUCCUCCGCGAGCCUCAACGCUCAUUGGACCACACACAUCAGUAUGUAUGAUUUCCAAUAAGUUGGUUGCUCGCUCCAUUGUUCCGGAGAACGAAGUCUUGGUCAUUUUUUGCCCAUGAGGCAUGGUUCGCAUGUGUCAAAUGAUUCAGAAUCGAGAGACUCUAAAAGUCCAUCAGCAUGGAGCUUCUUCAUGCGCUUGACACCAAUGUGACCAAGGCGGCAGUGCCACAAGUAUGUGGGACUAUCCUUAUCAACUUUACAUCUUUUGGUAUUCACAAUAUGAAUAUGUGUAACAUUACGUUCGAGAUUCAUUAAGAAUAAACCAUUGACCAUCGGGGCAUGACCAUAAAACAUAUCUCUCAUAUAAAUAGAACAACCAUUAUUCUCGGAUUUAAAUGAGUAGCCAUCUCGCAUUAAACGAGAUCCAGAUACAAUGUUUAUGCUCAAACUUGGCACUAAAUAACAAUUAUUGAGGUUUAAAACUAAUCACGUAGGUAAAUGUAGAGGUAGCGUGCCGACGGCGAUCACAUCGACCUUGGAACCAUUCCUGAUGCGCAUCGUCACCUCGUCCUUCGCCAGUCUCCGCUUUUUCCGCAGCUCCUGCUGUGAGUUACAUAUGUGAGCAACGACACCGGUAUCAAAUACCCAGGAGUUACUACGAGUACUGGUAAGGUACACAUCAAUUACAUGUAUAUCAAAUAUACCUUUAGUGUUGCCGGCCUUCUUGUCCGCUAAGUAUUUGGGGCAGUUCCGCUUCUAGUGACCCUUCCCAUUGCAAUAAAAGCACUCAGUCUCAGGCUUGGGUCCAUUCUUUGACUUCUUCCCGGCAACUGGCUUAUUGGGCGUGGCAACAUCUUUGCCGUCCUUCUUGAAGUUCUUCUUACCCUUGCCCUUCUUGAACUUGGUGGUUUUAUUGACUAUCAACACUUGAUGUUCUUUCUUGAUUUCUACCUCUGCUGACUUUAGCAUUGAAAAUACUUCAGGAAUAGUUUUUACCAUCCCCUGCAUAUUGUAGUUCAUCACAAAGCUCUUGUAGCUCGGUGGGAGCGACUGAAGGAUUCUGUCAAUGACCGCCUCGUCCGGGAGGUUAAUGUCCAGCUGGGACAGGCGGUUGUGCAACCCAGACAUUUUGAGUAUGUGCUCACUGACAGAACUAUUUUCCUCCAUCUUACAACUAUAGAACUUGUCGGAGACUUCAUAUCUCUCGACCCAGGCAUGAGCUUGGAAAACCAUUUUCAGCUCCUCGAACAUCUCAUAUGCUCCGUGUUGCUCAAAACACUUUUGGAGCCCCGGUUCUAAGCUGUAAAGCAUGCCGCACUGAACGAGGGAGUAAUCAUUAGCACGUGACUGCCAAGCGUUCAUAAUGUCUUGGUUCUCUGGAAUGGGUGCUUCACCUAGCGGUCCUUCUAGGACAUAUGCUUUCUUGGCAGCUAUGAGGAUGAUCCUCAGGUUCCGGACCCAGUCCGUAUAGUUGCUGCCAUCAUCUUUCAGCUUGGUUUUCUCUAGGAACGCGUUGAAGUUCAUGUUGACAUGAGCAUUGGCCAUUUGAUAUACAAGACAUAUUUUGCAAAGAUUUUAGACUAAGUUCAUGAUAAUUAAGUUCAUCUAAUCAAAUUAUUUAAUGAACUCCCACUCAGAUUUGACAUCCCUAUAGUCAUCUAAGUGUUACAUGAUCUGAGUCGACUAGGCCGUGUCCGAUCAUCACGUGAGACAGACUAGUCAUCAUCGAUGAACAUCUCCAUGUUGAUCGUAUCUUCCAUACGACUCAUGUUCGACCUUUCGGUCUCUGUGUUCCGAGGCCAUGUCUGUACAUGCUAGGCUCAUCAAGUUAACCCUAAGUGUUUUUGCAUGUGUAAAACUGACUUACACCCGUUGUAUGUGAACGUAAGAAUCUAUCACACCCGAUCAUCACGUGGUGCUUCGAAACGACGAACUUUAGCAACGGCGCAUAGUUAGGGGGAACACUUUCUUGAAAUUAUUAUAAGGGGUCAUCUUAUUUACUACUGUCGUUCUAAGUAAACAAGAUGCAUAAACAUAAUAGACAUCACAUGCAAUUAUAUAGUAGUGACAUGAUAUGGCCAAUAUCAUAUAGCUCCUUUGAUCUCCAUCUUUGGGGCUCCAUGAUCAUCUUCGUCACCGGCAUGACACCAUGAUCUCCAUCAUCGUGUCUCCAUGAAGUUGCUCGCCAACUAUUACUUCUACUACUAUGGCUAACGGUUUAGCAAUAAAGUAAAGUAAUUACAUGGCGUUAAAUCAUUGACACGCAGGUGAUACAAUAAUUAAGACAACUCCUAUGGCUCCUGCCGGUUGUCAUACUCAUCGACAUGCAAGUCGUGAUUCCUAUUACAAGAACAUGAUCUCAUACAUCACAAUAUAUCAUUCAUCAUUCAUCACAACUUUUGGCCAUAUCACAUCACAAAGCAAUUGCUGCAAAAACAAGUUAGACGUCCUCUAAUUGUUGUUGCAUCUUUUACGUGGCUGCAAUAGGGUUCUAGCAAGAACGUUUUCUUACCUACGAAUAACCACAACGUGAUUUGUCAACUUCUAUUUACCCUUCAUAAGGACCCUUUUCAUCGAAUCCGCUCCAACUAAAGUGGGAGAGACAGACACCCGCUAGCUACCUUAUGCAACUAGUGCAUGUCAGUCGGUGGAACCUGUCUCACGUAAGCGUACGUGUAAGGUCGGUAUGGGCCGCUUCAUCCCACAAUACCGCUGAAGCAAGAUAAGACUAGUAGUGGCAAGAAAGUUGACAACAUCUACGCCCACAACAGAUUUGUGUUCUACUCGUGCAAUAGAGAACUACGCAUAGACCUAGCUCUGAUACCACUGUUGGGAACGUUGCAUAAAAUAAAAAAUUUCCUACGUUCACCAAGAUCAAUCUAUGAGUUCAUCUAGCAACAGAGAGAGGAGUGCAUCUACAUACCCUUGUAAAUCGCGUGCAGAAGUGUUCAAGAGAACGGGGUUGAGGGAGUCGUUCUCGUCGUGAUCCAAAUCACCGGAGAUCCUAGCGCCGAAUGGACGGCACCUCCGCGUUCAACUCACGUAUGGUCAGCGUGACGUCUCCUCCUUCUUGAUCCAGCAAGGGGGAAGGAGAGGUUGAUGAAGAUCCAGCAGCACGACGGCGUGGUGGUGGAUGCAGCAGGAUUCCGGCAGGGCUUCGCCAAGCGACUACAGGAGGAGGAGGUGUAGCAGGGGAGAGGGAGGCGCCAAGACUUCAGGGUGCGGCUGCCCUCCCUCCCCCCUUUAUAUAGGCCCCCUGGGGGGGGCGCCGGCCCUGGAGAUGGGAUCUCCCAAGGGGGGGCGGCGGCCAGGGGGGUGGAGUGCCCCCCAAGGCAAGUGGAGGCGCCCCCCACCCUAGGGUUUCCAACCCUAGGCGCAGGGGGGGGCAAGGGGGGCACACCAACCCACUAGGGGCUGGUUCCCCUCCCACUUCAGCCCACGGGGCCCUCCGGGAUAGGUGGACCCACCCAGUGGACCCCCGGGACCCUUCCGGUGGUCUCGGUACAAUACUGGUGACCCCCGAAACUCUCCCGAUGGCCGAAACUGCACUUCCUAUAUAUAAUUCUUUACCUCCGGACCAUUCCGGAACUCCUCGUGACGUCCGGGAUCUCAUCCAGGACUCCGAACAACUUUCGGUUUGCUGCAUACUCAUAUUCAUACAACCCUAGCGUCACCAAACCUUAAGUGUGUAGACCCUACGGGUUCGGGAGACAUGCAGACAUGACCGAGACGGCUCUCCGGUCAGUAACCAACAGCGGGAUCUAGAUACCCAUGUUGGCUCCCACAUACUCCUUGAUGAUCUCAUCGGAUGAACCACGAUGUCGAGGAUUUAAGCAACCCCGUAUACAAUUCCCUUUGUCAAUCGGUACGUUACUUGCCCGAGAUUCGAUCGUCGCUAUCCCAAUACCUCGUUCAAUCUCGUUACCGGCAAGUAACUUUACUCGUACCGUAAUGCAUGAUCCCUUGACCAGAUACUUGGUCACUUUGAGCUCAUUAUGAUGAUGCAUUACCGAGUGGGCCCAGAGAUACCUUUCCGUCAUACGGAGUGACAAAUCCCAGUCUCGAUCCGUGUCAACCCAAUAGACACUUCCAGAGAUACCUGUAGUGCACCUUUAUAGUCACCCAGUUACGUUGUGACGUUUGGUACACCCAAAGCACUCCUACGGUAUCCAGGAGUUACACGAUCUCAUGGUCUAAGGAAAAGAUACUUGACAUUAGAAAGCUCUAGCAAACGAACUACACGAUCUUUGUGCUAUGCUUAGGAUUGCAUUUUGUCCAUCACAUCAUUCUACUAAUGAUGUGAUCCCGUUAUCAAUGACAUCCAAUGUCCAUAGUCAGGAAACCAUGACUAUCUGUUGAUCAACGAGCUAGUCAACUAGAGGCUCACUAGGGACAUGUUGUGGUCUAAGUAUUCACACAUGUAUUACGAUUUCCAGAUAAUACAAUUAUAGCAUGAAUAAAAGACAAUUAUCAUGAACAAGGAAAUAUAAUAAUAAUCCUUUUAUUAUUGCCUCUAGGGCAUAUUUCCAACAGUACGUACGUCUACAUUUUAUGUGUGCGCCUCUACAUCGACCAGUAUAUAUGUACGUACACGUUCGCGACCAGAAUGACAACGCUACGUACGCUUCGACCAGGUGGGUCUCGACUGUCAGGCACUUUCUUGCAUGCGAAGAUGUAACUGGUGGGUCCCAGCAGUCAGGGGGGAGAAUUGGUUUUUUUGCCGGGACGCACUUCCUUGCGUGCGAAGAUGUAGCUGGUGGGUCCCAGCAGUCAGGGGGAAACGUUUUUUUCACGAAAUACAGUGGCCCGUCCGGUGAGUCCUUGCUGUCAGGUGGAGGUAUCAUUAUUUUCCAUGUAAUAAGGAGGCACUUCCUUGCUGCGGUCGUGGACCCAGCUGUCAGCCUCUCCACGUAUAGUCCAGGUCCGAUGGAAGUCAUUCCUUGAUCACAUUGACCACACCGCGUCGAGAGCACCACGGCGGUGGACGACGGCGAGGCCUAGGAAGGGGACGACGUGGAGCUAGGGAAGACGCGACAGUGGAUGCCCACGCGGAGAGGAAUACGAGGGUUCACUAGUUCGGCUGCGGUGUGAGGUUGUCGUUGCCGCAGAAUAACAGGGGGUGUGGGUGAGUGGUGGGAUGGCCUGGCCAGCGGUGGGAGUAGUAUGGGGGCGGUGAGGCCUCAGUGGUAGCAUAGCCGGCCACGGGAGGCAGGAGCAGGCGGCACGACCGGCGCUGCUUUGGGCAGCUGGAGCAAGAAGACCAGAGGUUGAAGAAGCACUAUGGUUGUUGGAUGGACAUCAUACGGUCACUGGAGUAUUGACUAAGUUGACAAAGCCCUCCGUCCCUGUCAACUUAGUAGGCCCACAAGUCAGCUUAACAAUAUGGUGGGUCCUAGCUAGCAGGGGGUAUUCAUUUUUUUGGGCGUAAUAAGGAGGCACUUCCUUGCGUGCGAAGAUAUAGCUGGUGGGUCCGACCUGUCAGCUGGGGGAAUGUUUUUUUCGCGAAAUACAGAGGCCCUUCCUGUGGGUCCUAGCUGUCAGGUGGAGGAAUCAUUAUUUUGCGCGUAAUAAGGAGGCAUUUCCUUGCGUGCGGCCGUGGACCCAGCUGUCAGCCUCUCCACGUACAUUCCACUUCCGAUGGAUGUCAUUCAUUGACCACGUUGACCAGGGCGCGCCGAGAGCACCUAGGCGGUGGACGACGGCGAGGCCUAGGAAGGGAAUGACAUGGAGCCAGGGAAUACUCAGCAGUUGUUUCCCACGCAGAGGAGUACGAGGGUUUACUGGUUCGUUUGCCAUCCCUGGAGAAUAACAACAGGUGUGGGUGAGUAGAGGGAUGGCUAGGCCAGCGAUGGGAGUACGAUGGGGCCGUGAGGCCUGCGCGGCAGCAUAGCGGCCGCGGGAGGAGGGAGCAUGCAGUCCCGCCGGCGCUUGUUUGAGCGGCUGGAGCAUGAAGAGCAAAGAUUGAAGAAGCACGACAGCCGUUGGAUGGACAUCCAACAGUCACUACUCUCGUGUGUUGACUAAGUUGAUAGGGCACUGCGUGUGCAUCAACCUUUUUUUAUGAAAGCAUACGCGUCAACUAUAGUAGGCACACAAGUCAGCCUCAAAUCUGUGGAAAACAACAUACAACCCAUCUGCCAUUAUUUCUAAUAAUGUACAACCCAUUUGCUAAUUCUUAAGAAAUUUUUUGGAGCCCAUCCUCUUUUUGUUAGCAUUACACCCCAUAUUGUGAUGCGGCCACAGUGGUGCAGUUCAUCAAAAAGGUGAAUACGAGGCUCAUGUUUCCUUGCACUCACAAUGCAGCUGAAUACGAGGCCUUGCUCCAUGGUCUCCGGAUGGCUAAGGAGAUGAAUUUAAGCCGGGUAAGGUGCUUGGGCGACUCAGAUCUUGUGGCUCAGCAGGUUUCAUGCACAUGGGAUUCUAAGGAUCCCCUUAUGGCGGCUUAUCAUCAUGAAGUUGAUGUUGUAGCUGGGUACUUCAAAGGGUAUCAGGUGGAGCACAUUGACAGAAGGAAGAAUGAGGCGGCGGAUGCUUUAAGCCGGUUGGGCUCUCAGCGUAAGCCGGUGUCGCCUAAUACCUUUCUGGACGUCUUACAUAAUCCUUCUGUCAAGGUACCUACAGAGGAAGAGCUUGCAGUGCCAGACCCGGAGGCACAGUUGGUGGCUGCACUUCACAUCAUCCCGGAUUGGACAUUGCCAUAUUUGGCUUAUAUGACUCGGGGAGAGCUGCCUGAGGAUGAGACCUUGGCAAGACAAAUUGUCAGACGAUCUAAAUCCAUGACAAUUGUUAACGGCGAGUUACAUCAUCUCAGUGUUACAGGUGCGUUCCAGUGUUGUGUGUCACCUGCAAAAGGUCAAGAGAUACUUCGAGAGAUCCAUGAAGGGGAUUGUGGUCAUCAUGCCGGCUCAAAAUCUCUGGUGGCCAAGGCUUUUCGUCAUGGUUUUUAUUGGCUGACGACUCAUGCUGAUGCAGAAGAUCUUGUUAGCAAAUGUGAUGGGUGUCAAAAGUUCUCAAGACGAGCUCAUGUGCAGGCUCAGGAGUUAAGGAUGAUUCCAAUUACUUGGCCGUUCGCAGUCUGGGGGCUUGACAUGGUGGGACCUUUCAAAAGGUCUAAAGAUAAAAAAACGCACCUCCUGGUGGCAGUGGAUAAAUUUACAAAGUGGAUUGAGGCAGAGCCGGUCAGUCAGUGUGAUGCGGCCACAGCGGUGCAGUUCAUCAAAAAGGUGAUCUUUCGUUUUGGUUUUCCACAUAGCAUCAUAACUGAUAAUGGCACUAAUCUUUCCAAGGGUGCCAUGGAAGAGUUCUGUCAACGGGAACAUAUCCGGCUUGACGUUUUGGCUUUUGCCCAUCCUCAGUCCAAUGGUCAAGCAGAACGAGCUAAUCAUGAGAUUUUAAGGGGUAUCAAACCACGGCUCUUGGUCCCCUUACAACGGACUCCGGGUUGUUGGGUUGAAGAGCUGCCCUCUGUGCUAUGGAGCAUCAACACUACGCCUAAUAGAUCAACGGGUUACACGCCUUUCUUCAUGGUUUAUGGAGCAGAGGCAGUUCUGCCAAGUGAUAUCCGGCACGAUUCACCCCGUGUGGCGGCUUACGUUGAGGCUAAUAAUGAGAAGGCUCGACAGGAGGCUCUUGACUUGUUGGAUGAGGAGCGAGACUUGGCAAUGGCCCGCUCGGCAAUUUACCAGCAAGACCUUCGUCGCUAUCACAGCCGCCGGGUCAGAAGCAGAACAUUUCAGGAAGGCGAUUUAGUGCUCCGGCUCAUCCAGGAUCAGACCGAUAUGCAUAAGCUAUCCCCUCCUUGGGAAGGACCCUUUGUGGUCAGCAAGAAUCUGCACAACGGGUCAUACUACCUCAUCGAUAUUCGAGAGCACAAGGACUCAGGUAAAUCGGAAGAGGAGACCCGCCGGCCAUGGAAUAUAGCCCAUCUUCGGCCUUAUUAUACUUAAGCCAGCGGCUCUUUAGAUGUAUAUAUUUUUGACAAUGUACAUAUUAUAUAAAGUAAUAAAGAAGGACCUCUGUCCUUUUUUCACCCUAAAAAAGUGUAUAUGUCCUUUUUGUCAGGUGGUGGAAACAACCAGUAGGGACCGGAUCAAAUCUGAAUCCGGUUUACCUUUGGUCCGGCUUAUGAUCAUAUCUGAAUCUAGCCAUGGUCACUUGGGGGCUUCCUGUUCAAACAUAGGUCGUAUCCGAACCAAAGAGAACAUAGCUGUCGAUACCCACUUGAUCGGCAUACUUGCCAAGCCUACUUGGGGGCUUCCUGAUCAUAUUUGAAUCAUAGCUUAACCCCUUUAGGUCUGACGUGGAUCGUAUACGAAUCAGCGUCAUUAAACAAAUCCUAUGGUCACUUGGGGGCUUCCUGUUCAAACAUAGGUCGUAUUCGAACCAAAGAGAACAUAGUUGUCGAUACCCACUUGAUUGGCAUCGCCACGCCACUGGGGGCUAUAUGAUCGUAUCCGAAUCUUAGCUUAACCCCUUUGGAAUAGUUUACUGAUUGUAUCCGAAUCAGAGGCCUGUAAAAGUAUUUUGAUUAUUCUGAUACCUUGUGGAAAGCAUUUUAAGGCGUUUUUUGUCUUGCCAGUUUAAUAUUCGUCACCCCAGGUUAUUUAAGUACCGGGUGAACAUUAUAUGAGCCAGGAAGAUCAUUCAAGGAUUACAGGAAUAAGGCAGGCAAAAUUUAGCACGCCAAGGAAGUGAAAGCCAGAAAUAUACAGCCAUGGCGGCUUACGAAAAGCGUUAAGUGAUAAAAGCAUGCACGAAGGCAUGAUGAGCAUUCAGAAGUUAUUUCUACCCUAUUACAUGACUCCCCGAGUCUGAAUAGGUGGAGCAUUGUAUUUUGGCCAAACACCCGAUGAUUCACUCCUUCGGUGGGCUUGAAGGCUCCGGGUUAUCCUUUGCCGCUUCUCCGUCGGUUGUUUUUUCCUGGAAAGUUGAUGAAGCCCAAUCAAUGCCGCUCAAAGCUUCAAAUUCAGCUUCAUCAUCUAUUAAACCGGCCGGAUCCACUUCAGGGGCAAAAGUAUGCUUACGAAUUGGAGGGAUCAGGCUGAUUUGAUCAUAUGGAGCGUUUGGGAUUUUCCGGUUAUUGCUGUCAUAAGCCGACGCAUACUUGCUGAGGUCAGUAUCGUUUCCAAUAAGGGUAGCCACCGGACGUAUGGCCUUAACACAGGCGUCGAAGUCAUGAUCAUCAAAGGCAUUGCCGUUUUCCUUUAGACUCGGAUAUCCAAGCGCAAGGUCUGCCAGGUCUAGUUUUGGGAGCCAUGCUUUUGCCCGGCUCAAUGCAGCUACGACCCUGACUCUUGAAGAUGAACGCCUUAAGUCUUGGAUCCGCUGAGGUAGAAAGGCGAGGCUCUUCAAAACAUCUUGCAAAAGGCGGGGGUGUGGAGUUGAUAAAGCUACAACGGCCAGGGCACGUUGUGUCCCGGAAUAUAGCUGUUUCACUAAUGUGUAAACGGCUUUAAGCUUGAUCAGCGUGUUCUGCUUCAGAUUGACACUCCUAGAGCCUGUAUGUGCACAAGCAUAACGGUAAGCCGGAAGUAUUUAUUACAAUAGUCAUUGUACGGUUGCCAUGUUAAAACUAUGUCACAAUAACUUACCAAAGAUGGCUGAGACCAUUUGGGAUAUUUGAUGUGUUAAGUUUGACAGCUCAGUUGUUGCUUCUGCAAGAGAUGCUUCGGCUGUUUCGGCCCGAGUCACCAGGGAAGCCUUUUCGUCAGCCCAAGUUUUCCUUUCCGACUCAAAAUUCUUCUUUAGUUUCUCAUUUUCAGAGACACUAAAUUCAAAUUUGGAGUUAGCUUUUUGUGUUCCAAGCUCUUGAGUUUCCAGACGACUCUUCAGGGCAGCAAGCUCCGAUUCAAAUUGACUUAUGGCAGCCUACAAUUGACACCGGGUAAUGGUAAGGAUUCUACUAAGGUAAACAUUCAAGUCCCAAGCACUUUACAAGUAAAGAUACUUGGCACUUGGGGGCUAAUGUAUGCUGAAAGAAAAUUUAACUUUAUCAUGCCGGGUCAAGCAUAUUAAGUCUCAAGCACCUUACAAGUAAGGAUACUUGACACUUGGGGACUAAUGUGUAUUGCAAAUUUAAAAUCCUUAUGUUAUACCGGGUUAAAUAAAUUCUUUUUAAGCCGGAUAAGUUAACAAGUAAAAGCAGACUUCUAAGUCUACAGCGUAUUUGUUCAUAUGCGGUAGACUUGGGGGCUGGUACAGUAUAUAUAAGGCUCAGAUAAAAAGUAUAAGUUAUACCUCAGAUUUAUGCUGUAUUUGUUUCACCAUGUCAACUUCGAGGUCACGACUAUUAUGCACUUGAUUCAGAUAGCCUGAGACUAUAUCACCAAUGCUUAGGUGAGUAUAAUCUGCAAUGUCCUGCUUGGCUUUUUGGCGUUGGGCAAACUCUUCCUUGGCAGUACAUUUGGCAAGGACUGUAGGCCGGCCUGGUUCAACAAAUUGGGACUUCACAAUCUCAACUUCCGGGUCAUUUCUCUUUGCUGGGCUAGGAGUCUCCGGGUCGCUUGUGUGGACAAUGUCUUCGGUAAGUGGAUCAGAGGUCGGCACUAGAAUAUCAGAAGCCGGGUCAGGCGGCGGCUGAUGGCUAGCACUGUCUGGAGCAGACGUAUUAAUCACCGGUUCAACCACGACCGGUUGUUCAGAAGGUUUAUUCUUCUUUGCCCGCUUGCUGGGUUUCACUUGCAUACUGCUAACAAAAGCAGAAGGAUGAAUACGCAAGCACGGGUAAGGUAAAAAGUGCAUAAGUUUACAUUACCCGGGAGCAGUUUUGAAAGUCGGCAUAUUUGACUACAUGGAUUCACCAGAAGAAGGGGAGGUAUCCUGAUAAUUAUAGUCAGAUGAAUUGAGAGGUUGACGAAUUAAGCCUGCUAAAGGUAAGGCAGAGCAUAAAUCGGAGAUAACCUCAGUCCGACGUUUCCUGGUUACAUCAGGUAAGCCGGAAGAGAGUUAUGCAUCCUUAUUGUUCCGGGUCCGCCUCCGUCUCUCAAGCUGUUGUUGCUUCAAAAUAAAUUGAGGAUCUUGAUAAGCAAGUGCAUGUGAAAAUCUUACUUUCCGGGUCACCCUUCGGGUCUUUCGCUUUGGCAAAGGCUCUGAGUCGGAGGAGAUUAUAGUUACCUCUUCAUUAGCUGCUCGACUGUUCCCCGUAUCCUCCUGAAAGGAUAAAAUGUCAGACAGGUGAUAACAAGGGACUUAAGAAAAUUUAAAGAUUACCUCUUCUUCAUCCGAAGAGCUAUCCUCCAAUCUGAGUAAGUCGGAGGCGCUGGGUUUCUUCUUCUUUGAAGUUCCCACCUUGGCGGCUUUUCUUUCAACCUUCUUGGUCGUUCUGGCCUGUUUGGCAGCCUCAUGGUCAUAUUUAACCUUCCAAAAGUCAUUACCGGCCUGUGGAAAAAGUUAAAGUAUUAUGAGUAUCAAGAAAGGUAUAAUAUAUUCAUAAACAUUUGUUACGACUGCUAACUUACCACAGGGGCCGGGUUGUUCUUGCAAAAUGGAAGUAAGCCGAAGGCGUUGCUCGUCACAGUGCCCUCCUUCAGCAGUGACUGGGUUGUAGCAUCCACCACGUCAUCUGGUAAGUCGUCAGGGCUAUGGCGUUGCAGAUUAGUCUUUUCUCCAGUAUAAGUACACAUUAAACCGGGGCGGCGGCUUAAUGGAAGUAUACGCCAAGUGACCCAGACCCGGACCAGAUCGAUGCCAUUUAAACCAUUUCCCAAUAGAGCUUUAAUCUUCUUGAUGGUGGAGUUAAGAGGCACGCGUUCCAGGGUUGUCAACUUGUCUAGUAGCGGAUGUGUAGAUUCAAGGCGCAGGGCGCUAAAGCCGGGCAGAGGCUUUUCAUCUGCCGGAGAAGUGUCCUGAUAGUAGAACCACGUUUGGUUCCAAGAUUUGGGGUGACUCGGUAGCUCAGCAUAAGGGAAAAGACAGUCUCUCCCUCGUUGGAUUGAGAUACCGCCAAGCUCAAGGCUGGGCCCGUUGGCACGUUCAUUUUGCCAGUUCAUAUAAAAAAGUUCCCUGAACAAAAGCAGACUUGGCUCCUCUCCCAGGUACACCUCACAGAAGACUUGAAAAUUGCAAAUAUUUGACACGGAAUUGGGUCCGAUGUCUUGAGGUCUAAGGUCAAAGAAGUUCAAAACCUCUCUGAAGAAUUUUGAGCCGGGAGGAGCAAAUCCAUGGCUCAUAUGAUCAGUAAAAACUAUUACUUCCCCUGCUUUGGGGUGAGGUUUUUCUUUAGACGGGCCAGGGGCACGGUAUGACAUGGCGUCCUUUUUUGGCAGAUGCCCAGAUUUUACAAACUCAGCUAGUUUGCUAUUGGUCACUGUGGAUGGAACCCAAUUGCAAGUUACAGGGGCCUUGGUAGCCUUAGGAGCCAUCACAGCAAUUGGCCUAUGGAAAACAAGAAGAUCUGGUUCAAUUUUAACACGGGAGGAAAAUCUUGAUUAAAGUGGCGGCUUAAUGAGGGGCCUAAUGACAUAAGGAUGACUGUGCAACAAUAUUUAAGCCGCUACAAGUAUCAAAGUACAAAUUCAAAAAAAAUUCCGGGUCAUGGGAAGCGAUUAAGGUUCUAUGUCAUAUAUUUAAUCCGGACGCCUCGACAGUUGUGUUUCAGGGGGUUCACCAGAAGAGGUGUUCCGGGUGAUAAAAACAAGUUUCACAGAUAACAGUUAUUAUUUUGGAUCAAGAUAUUGCUAUGAAAGGGAAAUUCUCUAGACCUAAAAUAGGGCAGGGAAGUUCAUGCGUUCGAAGAGGAUUUUUGAACAAGGGAAAUGAGAUCUAUUUUCAUGCAAGAUCAACACAGACAAGCACCGCAGCAGUUCUACGUGGUUCUGACGAUCUAAACAGAGCAUUGGAAGGAACUAGCGAGGAUUUGGUGUCAGACCGUGAUGAACACCGACGAACUCAGCAACGACCUAAUGCAGAUCUGAGAAAGGGAAUGCGAAGAACUCACAGAUGUGGAUGCGCCGCGGAGGGUCGCCAUCGAUCUCUAGUCAGAAUCAGGUCGAUGCAGCGGCCUGAGUUGGUGAAGACGAGAGGUUCGGCGAUGGCGGCGGUAGAGCUCGGGAGGAGGCGAGAAGAAGAAGAUGACUGAGGGGAAAGACCUAGGUCGCUCUACUUAUAAGGAAAGACUAACUGAGAGGGUGCGGAAAACGAGGAGAUAAUAUUCAUUAUCCAGCGGCUCUGGCGCCUCGAUUCUCGGGGUGGUUAAUAAAGACAAAGAUCCGUUGAAGAUGUGACGGCAUAAAAAAUAAAGCUUUAAUGAAGAUGACGUCACAGAGAUUUAACCCGGAGUUAGAUGAUGACGUCAUGGAGGGGUAAAAUCCUUUGUGCAAGAUAAGAGCUACAGGGCGGUUCAAAGGGUAUUUUAAGAUUGACAUGAACCGGUUCAAAUCAAUCUGGGGCCUAAUGUUGGGGAUAUAACUAUUUGUGUAAGCCGCCCAGGAGGGGCCGGGUUAUGCAAAGAGGGCUCACCGGACAGAAGCCCAAGACAAGGCAUGAAGAUGACGGUUCAUAAGGAGCUUAAAGCCCACCGGCGACUUAAGGCCCGUUGUAGUAAACCGCAGUUAUAAUAUUACUUGUAUCAUAAGGUAGACUUAACUAGUCACCGAGCCGGACAUUGUUUAUAAGCCCGCCGAGACUCUGUAGGCCGGAGGGCGUCGACCCGUGUAUAUAAGGGGGCGACCCGCUGACAGCUUAGGGCAAGAAACAACUCAUCGAGAGCCAGGCAUAGCGUAUCUCGCUCCCUGGUCAUCGAAACAUCAAUACCAACCCAACUAGACGUAGGCCUUACCUUCACCGUAAGGGGCCAAACUAGUAUAAACCCUCUCGUGUCCUUUGUCCCGUUUAACCCCUUCAAGCUUCCUAGUUGCGAUGGCUCCACAACUAAGUCCUUUCAUGAGGACAUCUGACGUGACAAUUCCACAACAGCCACGGUUAAAAAGUAUACGAAAUUUUGCAUAUUUCGGUGCGGUCAACUGUUUUUAAUCCAGAAAUAUCGAUUCACAUUCAAACUAUUUUGAAAAAUAAUUUAUAUAAAUAUAAAUCCAAAUAAUUGUCCACGCAUAAAAAUCAAUGGAAUUUAAAAUCUUGUAGUGAAAAAAAUUGAAACUAAUUCCCGGUUUGAUGUCUUUUAAAAAUAUACAGCCCAUUUCUGGGCAAACCGAAUGAAACUCUCCUGGUCUUGAAAUAUUUGCAGCCCAGCAGGGCCAAUAAAGCAAGUAGGCCUUGUUUGGGUAUUUCUUUAAAAAAAUAGAACUAGGCUAGCCAUUUCCAGCAAGAAAAAAACACAAUUGGGCUCAUGAUGUGGUAAACAUAAAUAAAACCCCGGCUAGACGGGCCACAGGCCCCGCACAGCCCCGUUGUUACCCCGAUCCGUUGCUAAAACUAGUAUAAAUAACAACUGUUUGUUCCUUAAAAGUAAACUGCGCGACCUGCUGGGUCCCUGGUGUCAGCCGCUCGUAGUGUAAUUCUCUCAUUUAUUGACUACGUUGACAAUGGCGUGAGCCAUAGAUGUUCAACCAUUAGGAGGAGCCAUAUUUUUGGGCUUGCAAUAUAGAGGCACUUGCUUGCGUAUUGCCAUGACGCUAGUGGGUCCCUACUGUCAUCCUCUCUACGAAUAGUCAUCUCCUUGUUCCUCUCGGUUGUUGACGACAUUGACAAUGCAAGAGGGCGACGCAUCGCGCACGGUGAGCGAACCAAGGCCGCAAGGCGGAGGACGACGGCGAGGCUUCGGACGGAACGAACAGGAGCCAUGGAAGAUGCGCCGGUCCAGUUGCAGGCGGAGGGGGGGUACGAGGGUUGACUGGUUCGGGUGCGGGUGCGUGUUGGGGCUGACGUCGCCGGAGAAUAACAGGACAUGUGGGGGAAUAGAGGGAGGGACUGGCCAACGUUGGAGGGUACAUAUGGUAGGGUGGCAGAGGCGCAGCCAGCCAUGGGAUGCGGGAGCAGGCAGAGCCGACGGGGUGGUUCGGUUUGGGCGGCUGGAGGAAGAAGACAAGAGAUUGAAGAUACACGACAGAUGUUGGAUGUCAAUCCAACGGCUGGUAGGCAGAAUCGUUUGUUGACUGGCUAGUAAGUCGACACCACCUUGGAUAGGCUAUUUCCUCAUGGGUCCUAAAUGUCAGAAUCCAAAUCUGUCACGAUCAUGCAACCUUUCCUAUGAAAAUUUAUAGCCCAUUUGAUGUGCUAGUUCAAAAUAAGUUUGUGGGUGCUGGUGGGGGCUAAUCACUUGGCUUCCGUAAUGCACAGUGAGCUCAAGCAGUCGGCGAGUGAUGUUAUUUCCCUUGGUUGGGAUUUGUUACAAUAUUUCACUCUAAAUUAAACGAAUGUCAAGCCAUUUGCCUUGUUUCAAAGAAAAUAUGACAGUCACAGCCGAGUUGAAAAGGGCAGGAACAUCUAACUCCAGCUUACAAACUGUACAAAAGCACGAGGGUUAAUUGUUCAUCAGGUUUACAAAAAAACCCUGGUUGAAAAGGGCAACAACAUCUAACUCCAGCACUGUUUUCGGCAGUCACAAUCAAAUGGAUCGGUCAGGUCCACAGAAUGAACAUCCUGGGUCGUAAAAUUUACUGGAUUAUGACCACAAUAUGUUGUAAAUAGAAGCCCGGCACGUUCAGAUGCUCUUUUGCCCACCUAAAACUCCUUUUUUUGCUCUUCGACAUACCCAUCCGUCAAAACCAUGCUGCUGAUAAACUUAAGCCUGAUGGACAAUAGUAACCUCGCAUUCAGCAGGAAGAAUGUGACAAAUCUAGUGUUUGCACAGUUGGCUACGUAUCGUUCUAGCGUUAUUGUCUUCAAUCGAAUAUCAUGAGAAGUGAGAAAAUCCUGAUGCUUACGAAUCCACCGAUUGGUUAUAACUUUCUUACCCUGUCUUGUUGCCUAAAUAGACAUGAAGAUUGAAAACAGUUAAGGUCUAAAAAAGAGUGUCAAAAGAGCAACAACUGAACGGUUAAUUCUAGUACACUAUAUGCGGGCUUCCAAUGUGCGUGAAAUUAUCACCUUUAUAUACAACUUCUCCAGACAUGGAAAGCAUUGCAGCAAGCCAAUAAUCUUGUUCAGAUCAAAACUAUUCAUUUGGAUAUAUAAGAUCUUGACAGAAUCCAGCACCAUUGAUAGGCCAUCCAUGGAGAAACUCUUCACUGAGCAUAGAACAUAAUAUUAGUACAAAAUGUUAUGGGCAGAAAUUUAAAAUGCAGCUUAUGGUUACAAGUGUAGAUGAUAAUAUAAAGUACCUGAAGAACUAUGGAGCCAAACACCAUAUUGAAAUGAGCACAGAGAUCAUGUAUUACACCCAAGGUCUCCAGUUUAGGUGUAGAGAGGACGAUUAUUUGCAACGGUGAAUAACUAGAAUCAAGGAUCAACCUUUAAAGUGAAGGGGCAUCUUGGAUGAUGAGCUGCCUUCCGUCAAAAGAAAUUCCAAUUCUUACAAGGUUAGGCGACUUUAUUUGGAGACAACCGAUUCUAACUGUGAAAACAAGUACCAAGCACUCCAGGGUAGGGCAACUGGAGUGGAUGAUGCUGUGCAAUGAGGCCUCCGAUAUACGAACCCGCACAAGUGAAAGUUUCUUGAGAAAUGGGAGUCGAAGGUUUAGUACCAGAUUGUCUGGUAGGUAGCACAACGCAAAGGUGGCGGUGUGGAGAGAGGAGGAAAACCGCGAUAUGGACAUUGGUGCUGAGGGCACAAGUUCAUGGCGUUCGGUAUGUGGUAUGUGAUUUCUAGGGGAAUAGUAGAACUCAAGCAGCUUUAGUUCUAUGAAUUCAGGGGAUUUCAGCCAGGCGUCCACCGUGCAGGGCAUGGUAUGCUUGCUCAGGUAGCAUGAUGGGAUGCAGAGGCUUUGAACGGAGCACUGGUGGGAGGAGAUGAUGGAUCUGGGGAUUUCAAAAUCAUUGAAGAGAGAUAGCCGAUGAUAGUCGAGAUUAAGGGGCACGGCGCGCCAUAGAGGGCGCCACCGAAUUAAGAGGACUUGGGUGCGGCAGCAAUCCUUGGUGGGGAGAAGCGAGAUGAUCUCCCCAAGGACGGUGUCCGGGAGAUCGCUGAUGCGGUCCACCCGAGAUUCUAUGGGUUCCUGGGAUCCGGUGGGGGCGGGGUCGCCACUUCUCUCCGCGCUGCCGGUUGCGGGAUCUACAACACGCGUUGCCGCUGGUGGGAGCCUCAUCUUCUUGGCACCCGGGUCAGCCGACUCCAUUUUCCUCGAGGGCGUCGUGUCGCGCUCACGGAUUUGAGCAUAGUAAUGAAUGACGAGCCUAGUUGUAGUGCGAGUGAAGAAGAAGGGGAGCUGAGGUUUUUUCUGUAGUAGUGAGGAAGAAGGGGAGCUGGGGUUUUCUGUAGGAGUGAGGUGAGGAAUUUGGGGGUACGAGUGGAGCGAGCCGACGUGAGGUGAGUGGGGGCGAGGAGGAAGAAGAGCACCCAAGUUUUUUUGGGGGGCGGUGUGCUGGGUGUGGGUAGCGCCUCUCAUUCAGUAAAUAUAGGGCUUUUGAAUUGAUUUUACUAUUUACUAGUGUGGAUGGGCUGUUUUGUCUUGGGCCUAGAGAAACAAUUACUACUAGUACAAUGGAGACACUCUACAGCUACCCAAAAAACAAUUACUACUAGUACAGUGGAGACACUCUACCGCUUCUGGCUCCUAGGUCAUUGAGAUGUCUCCCUCUACUGAAUGCCAUUAUACUUUUGUUCACCGACAUGCGGGCCAUGCAGCGCGCGGGCCCAAAUGCCAUCGACCUAAUUAGAAGGCAGUAUGCAGGUGGAGAGUCACCCCGGUCAUAGCGGCAGUAACGAGCCGUCGUAUCACAAAACCCCACCUCCCCGCAGUCUAAGUUUGACGGACGAAGCGACCAUCAUUUCACUCUUCGCUGAAUCCCCUUCUCCCUCACCGUCUUCAAGAAAGGCAACACUCGCAUCUGCAAGUGUUGUUCUCUCCCAACGAAGGGAAGGUAAGCAGAUCCGUGAUGUUGGUAUAUUUUCGUUCAGAGAAAAAAAA
rnacentral:lncRNA from 1 species